UACGUAGGGCGCAAGCGUUGUCCGGAAUUAUUGGGCGUAAAGAGCUCGUAGGCGGUUUGUCGCGUCUGUCGUGAAAGCUUGGGGCUUAACCCCAAGUCUGCGGUGGAUACGGGCAGACUAGAGGCAGGUAGGGGAGAACGGAAUUCCCGGCGUAGCGGUGAAAUGCGCAGAUAUCAGGAGGAACACCAAUGGCGAAGGCAGCUCGCUGGGACGGUACUGACGCUGAGGCGCGAAAGCUAGGGGAGCAAACGGG
rnacentral:rRNA from 1 species